UUGCUUAUGAAAAAACUCUUAAUAAUUUCAUGAAAAAGUUAAAAUUAAUUACAAAAUAAAAACGAAAACGACUGUCAGAGUGGACAUAGCUCGAGAAAUGAGUUUUGGAUACAAUAGUACAAUCCAAAGUGACUAAGAAUCUGUUAAUAUUACAGAAAUUUAUGUACAUGAAAUUUCCAGGUCCAAUACAGUUAAUUACUACUGAAGCAUAAGACCAGAAAAAUACUGCUCGAACUCUUGAUCUAUCGUCGGCGCCCUUGUUCCUGAUUGAGCAUCUGCAUUCAAACACAAACAACAUUCAGCAAAACAGAUGGAAAGACUCUAACAAAAGAUGCUUCCAAAAUUCCUCAAGAGUUUACACCUUGCUUAACUGUCCAUCCUCCAGAUGAAGACAGGAGAUAGACGCGAGGGUUCACAGAAUUGGCACAGAGAUCACUAUUAAGGUCUUCAUCCUCACCACCGCCGCUACCAUUGUUUUCUGAACUGAAUGAGCAAAAGUACUACUUCAUUUGAUCUGAUCGCAAUCUCGAAGGUUUCCAGGCAUUCGUUUAGUUACGACUGCGAUCUGUUUGAAAUGAAUGAGCAAGUACUACUACAUUUGAACUAUGAUGUUAUUGGUUUUUCCUAACGAUAGAAAUCCACCUCUUGAUCGCAACGAUCGCAAUCUAGAAGGUUUAGUGGGAUUCUGCUUCAUAUAAAGUUAUGAUCUUUUCUUGCCAUCCAUAGUUGUUCUGAAGUGAAGCUAUCUGAAUGAGUAACUACGGUAUUUCAACUAUGAUCCUGAAUUGCAAUCAAGGAGGUCUCUCGGGAUUCGUUUAGUUACGAUCUUGUUUGCUUGUUUUUCAGAGUUGGUCUGAUGUGAAGUUGACUUCUCCCCAGCUGGGGAGGGAGAGCAUGUACAAGUUGAAUCUCAAGAAUUUAACUCUUCAGUCUGUUUCCUCCAGGUAGGUCUUUUUCCGGUCAUUGUUCGAGUUCUCUGGGGCUAGCUUUGGAUUUUUACUAUGGUUUGAUUAAUUGAUUCGGUUUCUGGUUGCAGUGACUCGAGGAAUCCUUUUGUCGAACACGCUCUGGAGUAUGCUAUUGCAGCUGCCAACGCUACCUUUGAUAGAACUAAGAAGGAUGCCUUGAACAAACUUCUCUUGCAAGGUCUUGACAUCACGAUAUUGGGCGGUAACGACUUCUACUCGUAUCGUAAUCAGGUGAUUAUUCAACGCUCUCUAGUCGAAUCUUGUUUCAUUUUCUAUAUGCAUUACCAUUGACCUAAUUGAUCCCAAUUUCAGAUCGAAGCUCGCGGUUUACCUUUGACUCCAGAAUCACUGGCUGCACUGCCACCCUUCAUGUCCAUCACAUUCAAUGCUGGUGAUGACACAAAUGGGCCGAACUGCAAGCCCGAAGUUGCCAAAACAGGGCUCGGAUCCUCGGCAGCAAUGACCGCAGCAGUGGUCGCUGCACUGCUCAAGUACUUCCGACUAGUGGAUCUUGUCGAAACUUCGGAUCUCGACGUGGUUCAUAUCAUAGCUCAAAGUGCUCACUGCAUUGCUCAAGGGAAAGUUGGCAGCGGGUUCGAUGUCAGCUCUGCUGUCUACGGUAGCCAUCGCUAUGUCCGGUUUUCACCCUCCGUGCUUUCAUCUGCUCAGGUUAGAGGAGUUCCGACUCGAUUCUUCCACGACGGUGAUUUGUGGGCCCCGGCUCUUCUGACUCGAGUUCGCCUGUAAAUUUUGUAGGAUGCGGCGAGAGGAGUGCCAUUACAGGAAGUCAUAGUUGAUAUCCUGAAAGGAGAUUGGGACCAUGAGAGGACCAAGUUCUCUUUGCCACCAUUGAUGACCCUGGUAAAGUACCGAGACACGUAAUUAUACAAGCUACUGUAAAACGUCAUUGUAAGUAAGACAGAAGGAUAAUUUCUGAUUCCGUGUCAAGUUACUAGGAGAACCAGGAAGCGGAGGAUCGUCAACUCCAUCAAUGGUAGGCGCGGUGAAAAGAUGGCAGAAAGCUGAUCCGCAGAAGUCCGGAGAAACAUGGAAUCAGUUAUCAGCAGCAAAUUCAGCUCUCGAAAUGCAGCUUAAGGCUUUAAGCAAGCUUGCAGAAGAGCAUUGGAGUUCAUAUAAAUGCGUGAUUGAUAACUGCAGCGUAACGAAGACUGAGAAGGUAUCUAGCUGCUGCUUUACUGUUUACUGUCUUUGAGAAUCUUCUUCAACAACCUGAAAUCGUUGUUCUAUUCCCGUGUUACAGUGGGCCGAGCAAGCUGCAGAUCUCAACCAAGAAGCUGUGGUUAAAGCAUUACUGGCAUCACGAGCAGCCAUGCUCGAGAUAAGAAAGCUUAUGCGGCAGAUGGGAGAAGCUGCUGGUGUUCCGGUAAGCUCACUAAUCCCAUGAUCGACUUUAACUGUAUAACAAUAUAAAUAUCUAUAUCCUAUCCUGUGAUCUUGUGCAGAUAGAGCCUGAAUCCCAGACCAAACUCUUGGAUGCUACGACGAACGUGGAAGGAGUUCUUCUGGCCGGAGUCCCCGGUGCUGGAGGUUUCGACGCCAUAUUCGCCGUCACGUUGGGUGACUCCGGCAGCAACGUUGCAGCAACUUGGAGCUCAUUCAACGUCCUAGCAUUGCUGGUAAGAGAAGACCCAUGCGGGGUUCGUAUCGAGAAUGGCGACCCGAGAAGCCAAGAGAUCGCGUGUGGAGUCACUGCAUUAAGCAUCCAGUAGAUUUGGUGCGAUUGCUAAAACCCUUUUAGCUAGGGGUUGAAUGAAUACCUGUUACAGAGCUAGAAUAUACGAUCUUUGUUUGUGGAAAUCCUAUCCGAUUUUUAGUAUUGCUAAGUUAUGCACAAACCAUUAGUCUAACCGUUUCAAUUGCAGCGAAAUAUCCCGAAAUGUCACCAACUUUUCGAUAAAUAUAAUUUUAAAAUCGAUCUUUUGGCUAUGACCUCACUACCUAUACAGUUAGCUGACUCCGCAUAUUGCUUAUGUGGUAUUUGCUUAUGAAAAAACUCUUAAUAAUUUCAUGAAAAAGUUAAAAUUAAUUACAAAAUAAAAACGAAAACGACUGUCAGAGUGGACAUAGCUCGAGAAAUGAGUUUUGGAUACAAUAGUACAAUCCAAAGUGACUAAGAAUCUGUUAAUAUUACAGAAAUUUAUGUACAUGAAAUUUCCAGGUCCAAUACAGUUAAUUACUACUGAAGCAUAAGACCAGAAAAAUACUGCUCGAACUCUUGAUCUAUCGUCGGCGCCCUUGUUCCUGAUUGAGCAUCU
rnacentral:lncRNA from 1 species